rnacentral:rRNA from 1 species
GGGUUGUAAACCUCUUUCAGUAGGGAAGAAGCGAAAGUGACGGUACCUGCAGAAGAAGCGCCGGCUAACUACGUGCCAGCAGCCGCGGUAAUACGUAGGGCGCAAGCGUUAUCCGGAAUUAUUGGGCGUAAAGAGCUCGUAGGCGGUUUGUCGCGUCUGCCGUGAAAGUCCGGGGCUUAACCCCGGAUCUGCGGUGGGUACGGGCAGACUUGAGUGAUGUAGGGGAGACUGGAAUUCCUGGUGUAGCGGUGAAAUGCGCAGAUAUCAGGAGGAACACCGAUGGCGAAGGCAGGUCUCUGGGCAUUAACUGACGCUGAGGAGCGAAAGCAUGGGGAGCGAACAGGAUUAGAUACCCUGGUAGUCCAUGCCGUAAACGUUGGGCACUAGGUGUGGGGGACAUUCCACGUUUUCCGCGCCGUAGCUAACGCAUUAAGUGCCCCGCCUGGGGAGUACGGCCGCAAGGCUAAAACUCAAAGGAAUUGACGGGGGCCCGCACAAGCGGCGGAGCAUGCGGAUUAAUUCGAUGCAACGCGAAGAACCUUACCAAGGCUUGACAUGAACCGGAACGGCGCAGAGAUGUGUCGGCCACUUGUGGCCGGUUUACAGGUGGUGCAUGGUUGUCGUCAGCUCGUGUCGUGAGAUGUUGGGUUAAGUCCCGCAACGAGCGCAACCCUCGUUCCAUGUUGCCAGCGGGUUAUGCCGGGGACUCAUGGGAGACUGCCGGGGUCAACUCGGAGGAAGGUGGGGACGACGUCAAAUCAUCAUGCCCCUUAUGUCUUGGGCUUCACGCAUGCUACAAUGGCCGGUACAAAGGGUUGCGAUGCUGUGAGGUGGAGCUAAUCCCAAAAAGCCGGUCUCAGUUCGGAUUGAGGUCUGCAACUCGACCUCAUGAAGUCGGAGUCGCUAGUAAUCGCAGAUCAGCAACGCUGCGGUGAAUACGUUCCCGGGCCUUGUACACACCGCCCGUCAAGUCACGAAAGUUGGUAACACCCGAAGCCGG